GAGAAGCUAGGAAGACGCGGUCCCCCGGAGGGGACCUCAGGCCCAAGCGUGGCGGAGCGAGCGGGGUGUGGGGGGACUGUGAGAGCCAGGCCUGGGUGGGUGGAUGUCGGGGGACCCGAGAGAUCUCUUGCAGCCAGGAACUGGGAGCCGUUCUUCCCCCAGCGCCAGCCCCCACGUCCCGUCGUGCUCGCCUUUCAGCGCUGUCCCCAUCCUUUUGGACCCCUCCACCUGGAUCGCGAUCGCAGCCCUGGCUGUUCCCGCGCCAUGGCCACGCUCGCUGCUGCCCAUCCUUUGGCCUCUUUCCUGCAGACCUGGCUAGUGGGUUCCUGCCUCCAGUCUCUUCGCCUGUUCAUCCCUUCCUCGCCCCCGCCCUCCCACUCCCACCCCGAGAGUCCCUCUCCUUCUCUGGCUCCUGUCACUUGGAACCGGUAUCAGUGCCGCUAUCUCCGCGUCAAGCCGCUUCCCAGCUAAUGCCAUCCCACAGGUGUCUACACGUCUGGCCGUUCAUCCGUCCGUCCCUCCUGAGGCCGGAACUGACCAUGCCCAGCGGCUGCCGCUGCCUAAAUCUCGUGUGCCUGCUGUGCAUCCUGGGGGCAACCAGCCAGCCUGCCAGAGCGGAUGACUGCAGCUCCCACUGUGACCUGGCCCACGGCUGCUGCGCUCCUGACGGCUCUUGCAGGUGUGACCCAGGCUGGGAGGGGCUGCACUGUGAGCGCUGUGUGAGGAUGCCCGGGUGCCAGCACGGUACCUGCCACCAGCCCUGGCAGUGCAUCUGCCACAGUGGCUGGGCAGGAAAGUUCUGUGACAAAGAUGAGCACAUCUGUACUUCACAAUCACCCUGCCAGAAUGGAGGCCAGUGUGUGUAUGACGGGGGUGCUUCCCGUGCCAGAACGGAGGGCAGUGCCAGGACAACCAGGGUUUUGCCCUCAACUUCACCUGCCGCUGCUUGGCGGGAUUCAUGGGUGCCCACUGUGAGGUCAAUGUGGAUGACUGUCUGAUGCGGCCUUGCGCUAACGGUGCCACAUGUAUUGACGGCAUAAACCGCUUUUCCUGCCUCUGUCCUGAGGGCUUCGCUGGACGCUUCUGCACCAUCAACCUAGAUGACUGUGCUAGCCGCCCGUGCCAGAGAGGGGCCCGCUGCAGGGACCGUGUCCAUGACUUUGACUGCCUGUGCCCCAGUGGCUAUGGUGGCAAGACUUGUGAGCUUGUCUUACCUGCUCCGGACCCUGCCACAAUAGGCACCCCGCAAGCGCCCGCCUCAGCUGUGGUGGUGCCUGCUACGGGGUCGGCCCCUCACAGUGCAGGGGCAGGCCUGCUGAGGAUCUCAGUGAAGGAGGUGGUGCGGAGGCAGGAGGCUGGGCUUGGUGAGUCUAGCCUGGUCGCUCUGGUGGUGUUUGGGUCCCUCACUGCUGCUCUGGUCCUGGCCACUGUGUUGCUGACCCUGAGGGCAUGGCGCCGAGGUAUAUGCCCCACUGGACCCUGUUGUGACCCAGCCCCACACUACGCACCAGCUCGGCAGGAUCAGGAGUGUCAGGUUAGCAUGCUGCCAGCAGGGUUCCCUCUGUCACCAGACCUGCCCCCUGAGCCUGGGAAGACCACAGCGCUGUGAUGGAGGGUGGCUUUCUAGCUGCCGUCCUUACCUCCUUUCACCUCAGACUGUCACCAGCCCUCAGCUUUGGUACACCCAUCCAGGGGAUUUCAGCCUCACAUCAGAAAUAUUAUUUUUUUAAAACACAGAAUGUAAGAUAGGAAUUUUAUCAAAUAAAAUUAUGAAAAUGCAA
rnacentral:lncRNA from 1 species